rnacentral:misc_RNA from 1 species
UAAUGAUAAAAAAAAGCCAAACAUAUUUGUGUUUUUUCAAUUUAUUAACAACUUUUAAUUUUGACAAUUUUAUUUCAAUUGCCCACGUAGUUCUAUUUCUAACUUUUUCCGACACAACCUUGAACUCCAUUUUCUGAUUGAUCCAUGGCCACACAUGACAAUCUGACCCCCAACACUACCAACAACUCUUUCAAAGUUUUAUCUUGACACCCAUAGUGCAUAAAAAAAAAAAAAAUGAAGGUUGGGAGGUGGAGGUGCUGUUGUUGGUGGCAGUGGUGAUGUUAGAUGGUGAUGGGCGGCUGUGAAUCAGACUGAAAAUGGAGUUGAUGGUUUAGUUGGAAAAAUAAAAAUAUGAAUAUAAUUGGAACUACGUUUGAAAAUUCGGAUAAAGUUGCCAAAAUUAAAAGCUGUGGAUAAAAUUGAAAAAUCUCGAAAAGGUUUGGCUUUUUUUGGCCAUUAGUCCUUCUAUUCUUCUAAGAAAUUUGUAUUUUGAGGUUGUGUAGCAAGUUAAUGGGUCAAUGAGGAGAUGAUCAGUAGAUGUAUACACUUUGUGAAUGAUGUAAACAAUCCAGGAAGUGUUCAAUUUCAAAUUUGUUUAUACGUAGCUCUUCUAAUUGUGCCGCAAACUUGUAACCGUUCCAAAAAUUUUUCGUCUAGACUGAGGCUUGACAUGAACACAUUCAGCAAAGCAAAGUUAUAAGGUAGUUUUACCUUGAUAAAAAUAGUUGAUAUGCUUCCUUGGUCUAAAGCCUUAGGAUGAGUAAUUUUAGGGUUUGAAGUGAAGGUAAGGGAUCUACUUUCAGUUGAGAAUAAUUGUUGCUUGCGUUUCUCAAAUCUGAAGAAAGUGAAACUUAAUACUGCAUUUUCAAAUGCCAUUGGGCUAGUUGUCCAAAUGAUCAAGUAUUUACCUAAUAGUGCAAAAGGUUAGGGUAACUAUAUUAUUCUUCUUACCUUUCUCUGAAUCAGAAUUACUUUCUUGUCAAGUUUAAACCUAGUUCAAUGCUAGGCCAUAUGUAUGCCAUCAAGUUCUUGCUUAGAUCAAGCUUAAGCUUUUAUUGUAUUUUUUACUAAUUUACUCUGCCCCAUUCCUUGAGCACUUCCAUAAUUUUCAAGCACCAACUAGUGUUUGCUUGCUUGUAAGAUUAUUGGAAUAAUGAUCAAACCCAUACCUUACAUUUGUUUAGGAGACUAGGACCAGAAGUGAGCUUUCAUAUUGUUGCAUCACACGUCUUGCAAUGGAAGUAUACAACAACAACAACUAAGUCUUAA